UCUAAGACAAUGCAGCAAUGGAUGUUUAGUACACUCUUCCGUGAGAUGUUCGUGUGGGAACUCUUUUGACAAUUUGUCUUCGCCACAGAGAUGGCAAAUCAUGACUGUAGACUCAAUCCAGUUAAAUAGAGUUAAUUAAAAUUAUAAACGUAGAAGAAAAGACAGAAUUCCGCAGGACACCCAAUUCUUGAUGUUUCGUUUUGUGCUUCCCAGAAUUUCUUUUGAUA